CGGAGCGUAGCGCAGCCUGGUAGCGCACUACACUGGGGGUGUAGGGGUCGUGGGUUCGAAUCCCGCCGCUCCGACCA
rnacentral:tRNA from 1 species